rnacentral:rRNA from 1 species
CCUACGGGUGGCAGCAGUGAGGAAUAUUGGUCAAUGGGCUUACGCCUGAACCAGCCAAGUCGCGUGAGGGAAGACUGCCCUAUGGGUUGUAAACCUCUUUUGUCAGGGAGCAACGCCGGCUACGUGUAGCCGGACUGAGAGUACCUGAAGAAAAAGCAUCGGCUAACUCCGUGCAAGCAGCCGCGGUAAUACGGGGUAUGCGAGCGUUAUCCGGAUUUAUUGGGUUUAAAGGGUGCGUAGGGUGAAGUCAAAGGCAGCGGGAAAAUCGCAGGGCUCAACCUCGCUCCGCCGUUGAAACUGGCGUUCUUGAGUGGGCGAGAAGUAUGCGGAAUGCGUGGUGUAGCGGUGAAAUGCAGAGAUAUCACGCAGAACUCCGAUUGCGAAGGCAGCAUACCGGCGCCCAACUGACGCUGAAGCACGAAAGCGUGGGUAUCGAACAGGAUUAGAUACCCGUGUAGUC